UACGUAGGGUGCAAGCGUUAAUCGGAAUUACUGGGCGUAAAGCGUGCGCAGGCGGUUGUGCAAGACAGAUGUGAAAUCCCCGGGCUCAACCUGGGAAUGGCAUUUGUGACUGCACGGCUCGAGUGCGGCAGAGGGGGAUGGAAUUCCGCGUGUAGCAGUGAAAUGCGUAGAUAUGCGGAGGAACACCGAUGGCGAAGGCAAUCCCCUGGGCCUGCACUGACGCUCAUGCACGAAAGCGUGGGGAGCAAACAGG
rnacentral:rRNA from 1 species